rnacentral:misc_RNA from 1 species
GUAUAAGAGACAGGUGAGUCAUCGAAUCUUUGAACGCAUCUUGCGCUCCCUGGCAUUCCGGGGAGCAUGCCUGUUUCAGUAUCAGUUCUUGAUAAAAUUUCAUUGAAAUUUGUUUGUGAAUGCUCUUUUGUCAAUAAAAGUCAUUUAAAAUCAAUUAAAAGCCCUGGUGUAAUAUGUUUUUUAACGAAAACUUCGCCUCGGAUUUUCUUUAUUAAUAACCAAAGCCGUUAAACGCUUUGAUCCUUGAUCUGAAAUCAGGCAAGACUACCCGCUGAACUUAAGCAUAUCAAUAAGCGGAGG